GAUGAACGCUGGCGGCGUGCUUAACACAUGCAAGUCGAACGGUGAAGCAGAGCUUGCUCUGUGGAUCAGUGGCGAAGGGGGGAGUAACACGUGAGCAACCUGCCCCUGACCCUGGGAUAAGCGCUGGAAACGGCGACUAAUACCGGACAUGAGCUUCGACCGCAUGGGCAGGGGUUGGAAAGGUUUGUCUGGUUGGGAUGGGCUAACGGCCUAUCAGCUUGUUGGUGUGGUAAUGUCGCACCCAGGCGCCGCCGCGUAGCCGGCCUGAGAGGGUGACCGGCCCCGCUGGGCUUGGACCGCGACACAGCCUCCUCCGGGACGCAGCAGUGCGGUAUAUUGCACUAUGGGCGGAGCCCUGAUGCAGCACCGCCGCGUCGGGGAUGACGGCCUUCGGGUUGUAUUCCUCUUUUCGCUGGGACGAAGCGAAAGUGACGGUACCUGCAGAAAAAGCGCCGGCUAACUCCGUG
rnacentral:rRNA from 1 species